rnacentral:rRNA from 1 species
CACAUGCAAGUCGAACGGAAAGGCCCUGCUUUUGAGGGGUGCUCGAGUGGCGAACGGGUGAGUAACACGUGAGUAACCUGCCCUUGACUUUGGGAUAACUUCAGGAAACUGGGGCUAAUACCGGAUAGGAGCUCCUGCUGCAUGGUGGGGGUUGGAAAGUUUCGGCGGUUGGGGAUGGACUCGCGGCUUAUCAGCUUGUUGGUGGGGUAGUGGCUUACCAAGGCUUUGACGGGUAGCCGGCCUGAGAGGGUGACCGGCCACAUUGGGACUGAGAUACGGCCCAGACUCCUACGGGAGGCAGCAGUGGGGAAUAUUGCACAAUGGGCGGAAGCCUGAUGCAGCAACGCCGCGUGCGGGAUGACGGCCUUCGGGUUGUAAACCGCUUUCGCCUGUGACGAAGCGUGAGUGACGGUAAUGGGUAAAGAAGCACCGGCUAACUACGUGCCAGCAGCCGCGGUGAUACGUAGGGUGCGAGCGUUGUCCGGAUUUAUUGGGCGUAAAGGGCUCGUAGGUGGUUGAUCGCGUCGGAAGUGUAAUCUUGGGGCUUAACCCUGAGCGUGCUUUCGAUACGGGUUGACUUGAGGAAGGUAGGGGAGAAUGGAAUUCCUGGUGGAGCGGUGGAAUGCGCAGAUAUCAGGAGGAACACCAGUGGCGAAGGCGGUUCUCUGGGCCUUUCCUGACGCUGAGGAGCGAAAGCGUGGGGAGCGAACAGGCUUAGAUACCCUGGUAGUCCACGCUGUAAACGGUGGGUACUAGGUGUGGGGUCCAUUCCACGGGUUCCGUGCCGUAGCUAACGCUUUAAGUACCCCGCCUGGGGAGUACGGCCGCAAGGCUAAAACUCAAAGGAAUUGACGGGGCCCCGCACAAGCGGCGGAGCAUGCGGAUUAAUUCGAUGCAACGCGUAGAACCUUACCUGGGUUUGACAUGGAUCGGGAGUGCUCAGAGAUGGGUGUGCCUCUUUUGGGGUCGGUUCACAGGUGGUGCAUGGCUGUCGUCAGCUCGUGUCGUGAGAUGUUGGGUUAAGUCCCGCAACGAGCGCAACCCUUGUUCACUGUUGCCAGCACGUUAUGGUGGGGACUCAGUGGAGACCGCCGGGGUCAACUCGGAGGAAGGUGGGGAUGACGUCAAGUCAUCAUGCCCCUUAUGUCCAGGGCUUCACGCAUGCUACAAUGGCUGGUACAGAGAGUGGCGAGCCUGUGAGGGUGAGCGAAUCUCGGAAAGCCGGUCUCAGUUCGGAUUGGGGUCUGCAACUCGACCUCAUGAAGUCGGAGUCGCUAGUAAUCGCAGAUCAGCAACGCUGCGGUGAAUACGUUCCCGGGGCUUGUACACACCGCCCGUCAAGUCAUGAAAGUUGGUAACACCCGAAGCCGGUGGCCUAACCGUUGUGGGGGAGCCGUCGAAGGUGGGACUGGUGAUUAGGACUAAGUA